rnacentral:misc_RNA from 1 species
UCCCGUAAGGGGGACCUGCGGAAGGAUCAUUAAAAAAUAUUAUACAUCUCUUCUAGGAUUAAACACUAAAUGUUAUAUUUCAACAAGUUUAAAAUAAAAAACUUUCAACAACGGAUCUCUUGGUUCUCGCAUCGAUGAAGAACGCAGCGAAUUGCGAUACGUAAUAUGACUUGCAGACGUGAAUCAUUGAAUUUUUGAACGCACAUUGCGCCUUAAGGUAUUCCUCAAGGCAUGCGUGAAUGAGCGAUA